rnacentral:rRNA from 1 species
AUGCAGCUGGACAAUGCGUGUUGCAGGAUCACAUAUAGUGCAGGCAUUGGUGGUAAUCUGCUUCUACUUUCUGUAUGGAGCUGGGAGCGUCUGCCUGUUAGACACCCGAAGAGCGUCAGGUUUAAUCCUUGGUAUGAAGAUGAACAUGACGAAUUAUGGCGCCCCACGUGGGCUUACAAGUGGGAUGUGGUUUCCGAGAUGGCGAACGAUGUCAAUCUCAUGUACCAAAAGUACAUUGCCGAGUUGGACACGAUUACGCCUGACCAUGUAAGGAGGUCAUUACUUCAGUCCUUUCUCAUGCUUGCUUGA